AUGGGCCUCCUCACCAAAGCCGGCGACGGGGACGCGCCUCACCGGUUCGCCGUCGCCGAAAUCGUGCACCAGCGUGACCGCGUCGUCAUCGACCGGUUCCUCCCGGAGACUGGCAGGUGGGAGCUGGUGCUCGGCCUGCCGUGCCACCCGCCGCUCAAGUGGGAGAUGGAGAUGAACCAGGAGACGGUGGCCUUCCGCGACCGCCUCUUGUGGGUCGACCUCACCCGCGGCGCCAUCUCCGUCGACCCUUUCAGCCACCGCCCGGAGUUCCGCUUCGUCGAGCUGCCGGAGGGCAGCAGCCUCGCCGACUUCAGACAAGCCCCCACCGCGACCUUCUUCAUGAGGGAGAUGGGCAAGUACCGGCGCAUCGGCGUCAGCGACGGGAGGCUGCGCUACAUCGAGGCUUCUCUUCACGCCCCGUUCCUGCUCAGCUCCUUCGUGCUUGACGACGAGGGCAGGAGCUGGACGCUGGAGCGCCAGGUGGAGCUCGGGCGGGUGUUGGAGGAUGGCGGCCACCCGUGCGAAGAGGGGAAGAGGCCGCCGCAGAUCGCCGUCAUCAACCCGCUCAACGCCGAUACCAUCUACAUCACCGUCGGCGAGCAGAAGCACAUCGUCGCCGUGGACAUUUACCAAGGCAAGGUGAUCGCGAGCUCUCCGCUUCAACACGGAUACCGUUCGCUUGUACCAUGUGUGCUUCCACCCGCGCUUGGAUCAAGCCGGAUCCCUACCUACGGCAGGAACCCUCUCCAUGACUUCAAAAUGGUCACUGGGCCAUCAUCAACGCCAUUUUAG
rnacentral:rRNA from 1 species